CGAAACGGAAUAAUAUUCAGUUGUAACUAUUGGAAUGAUGACAUUAUGUUUGUGUUUAAACUUAACUCUUAUGUAGCCUAUGGUGAAUCGAAGGAGGAUGUGCCAGUCGCGACAAAAUAUAUAGCCAACUGCAUCUUAAUUUCAAAGAACAAAAAGGAUAAUACUAACGUCAGCAGCCAUAGGCGAACUAUUGAGAGGGGAAGAGAGAAAUAUCUGAACAUAUACAAAAAGUUUCAUCAUAAGUAUUGGUAAACAUUUCUCCUACAAUUAUUAUUACAACAAUUAUUAAUAAUAUGUGUUUCGUGAACUGUGUUAUAUGUUUUGUAAAUUGUGACAACCACUUCUGUGGGCAAUGUUGAGACCUGACAAUGACAGCGACUGAAGAUGCAUUGUAAUUAAUGCGAAACGCGUCUCGCAGGAGAUAGAAUUUUGGACACCUUAGGCUACCAAAAAGGUUUUCGCUUGGCAAUGAAGCAAAAAGUCUUUUACAUAAUGAAGAAGUAUUGAGUACAAGUACUCGAUUCCUGGACCAAGUUGUUAACUAAAACAAGAGGCUCAGACACCAAAGUCUCAAAUACAAGCUUAAAACCUGGUACCCCUAAGAUUUACCAAUCAAUAAGAAUUAGGAAACCCAUUAAAAGGAUGAGUUAUUAAGCUUUCUAAUAAAACAAAAAGGAUAAUACUAACGUCAGCAGCCAUUGGCAAACUAUUAAGAGGGGAAGAGAGAAGUAUCUUAAUAUAUAUAAAAAGUUGCAUCAUGAGUUCAAGUCUUAGGUAGGCCUACAAAUUGUUCAAGUACUUGGAACAAUCAUAGUGCUGGAACUGGGAAUUACAGCCUUUUUAAGCCAGGUGAAUCAUAGGAAUUUUAGCAAGUAAGACUGUUGCCUUACCUAGUUACUGAAAUAUUAGAGUUAAUAUUUAUAAAGGAAGGUUAUAAAGGGUUUCCAUUAUUUUAGAAGAAUAAACUUAUAAUUUGUUAUUACGAUGAA